rnacentral:rRNA from 1 species
UACGGAGGAUCCAAGCGUUAUCCGGAAUUACUGGGCGUAAAGAGUUGCGUAGGCGGUAAUAUAAGCAAAAUAUGAAAUAGUGUGGCUCAACCAUACUGCUAUAUUUUGAACUGUUUUACUAGAGGACAAGAGAGGUUAUUGGAAUUCCUAGUGUAGGAGUGAAAUCCGUAGAUAUUAGGAGGAACACCGAUGGCGUAGGCAGGUAACUGGCUUGUUCCUGACGCUAAGGCACGAAAGCGUGGGUAGCAAACGGG